rnacentral:lncRNA from 1 species
AUGGGUUUGAGAGUACUUGCAGUUUGUAACUCGGUCACUGUCUCACUGAGGUUAGUGGUUAGUGAGGAGAAGCUCUCAGAAGCAGAAGCCACAAGCCCACAACUUCAUUGAGAAACGAUGAAAAAAAAAAAAGAUUUUGAAAAUUAACAAGCACUCUGCUGCACUCCUCAAUGGAAGACAAAGUCAGUUUGGUCGGGUUAUUGGAUCUCAUGUUAAGGACGAAUUGAAGAACUCAAAUUGGUUUUGAACAGCAAACUAAAUAGAAAAGGUUUGGAUUCAAGCUGAAUUGGUUUAGUGCUGAUUGUUUUUUCUGGCUCAAGAGACAGUGAAAGCUUGGAGUUAGGCUCAUUAGGCAAGCAUUAAUUGGAAGCGGAUGAUUGGCUUAGCUCUAACUUAAACAAAUU